AUGAUGGAGAGUUUGAUCCUGGCUCAGGACGAACGCUGGCGGCGUGGAUUAGGCAUGCAAGUCGAACGGUAGAUAUCCUUUCGGGGAUAUUGAGAGUGGCGAACGGGUGAGUAACACGUAGAUUAUCUACCUUCAAAUGGGGGACAACCCAGGGAAACUUGGGCUAAUACCGCAUGAGUGUGGCGCAUAAUAUAUCUAUUGUUGAGAGAUCAGCGAUUGGGCAUAUUAUGCGUCAUAUAAAAGGUGGCCGCAAGGCUGUCGUUUGGAGAUGAGUUUGCGUUCUAUUAGCUAGUUGGUGUGGUAAUGGCAUACCAAGGCGAUGAUAGAUAGGCGGCCUUAACGGGUGGUCGCCCACACUGGGAUUGAGAUACGGCCCAGACUCCUACGGGAGGCAGCAGUCGAGAAUAGUCUACAAUGGACGAAAGUCUGAUAGUGCGACGCCGCGUGAACGAAGAAUCCCUUCGGGGUGUAAAGU
rnacentral:rRNA from 1 species